rnacentral:rRNA from 1 species
UACGUAGGGGGCUAGCGUUAUCCGGAAUUACUGGGCGUAAAGGGUGCGUAGGUGGUUUCUUAAGUCAGAGGUGAAAGGCCACGGCUCAACCGUAGUAAGCCUUUGAAACUGGGGAACUUGAGUGCAGGAGAGGAGAGUGGAAUUCCUAGUGUAGCGGUGAAAUGCGUAGAUAUUAGGAGGAACACCAGUUGCGAAGGCGGCUCUCUGGACUGUAACUGACACUGAGGCACGAAAGCGUGGGGAGCAAACAGG